rnacentral:rRNA from 1 species
UACGAAGGGGGCUAGCGUUGCUCGGAAUCACUGGGCGUAAAGCGCACGUAGGCGGCUUUCUAAGUCAGGGGUGAAAUCCUGGAGCUCAACUCCAGAACUGCCUUUGAUACUGGAGAGCUUGAGUCCGGGAGAGGUGAGUGGAACUGCGAGUGUAGAGGUGAAAUUCGUAGAUAUUCGCAAGAACACCAGUGGCGAAGGCGGCUCACUGGCCCGGUACUGACGCUGAGGUGCGAAAGCGUGGGGAGCAAACAGGG